rnacentral:tRNA from 1 species
GGGGCUGUAGCUCAGAGGGAGAGCAUCUCGUUCGCAACGAGGGGGUCGAGGGUUCAAAUCCCUCCAGCUCCA